UACGUAGGGUGCGAGCGUUGUCCGGAAUUAUUGGGCGUAAAGAGCUCGUAGGCGGUUUGUCGCGUCUGCUGUGAAAACCUAAGGCUCAACCUUGGGCUUGCAGUGGGUACGGGCAGACUAGAGUGCGGUAGGGUGACUGGAAUUCCUGGUGUAGCGGUGGAAUGCGCAGAUAUCAGGAGGAACACCGAUGGCGAAGGCAGGUCACUGGGCCGCAACUGACGCUGGAGGAAGCGGAAAGCAUGGGAGCGAACAGG
rnacentral:rRNA from 1 species